GAGCCUAAGAAGCACCCUUUCUUCAAGCUCCCAGAAAUGGAGUCAAACACACUCCUCCUAUGCAUGCUGCUGCUCGGAGUUCCAGGUUCCACUGGGGACAUUGUGCUGACCCAGUCUCCAGCCUCAUUGGCUGUCUCUCUGGGACAAAAGGCCACCAUCUCUUGCAAGUCCAGUGAAAGUGUCAAUGAAUAUGGUAUAGAUUUUAUGCACUGGUAUCAACAAAAACCAGGACAGCCCCCCAAACUCCUCAUCUAUCAAGCAUCAAAUACAGAACCUGGGGUCCCUGCCAGGUUCAGUGGCAGUGGGUCUGAAACAGACUUCACCCUCACCAUCCAUCCUGUGGAGGCUGAUGAUGCUGCAAUCUAUCACUGUCAGCAGGGCACCACUGGGGACAUCGUGCUGACCCAAUCUCCAUCUUCCUUGGCUGUGUCACUAGGGCAAAGGGCCACCAUCUCCUGCAAGGCCAGCCAGAGUGUCAGUAAUAACUUUUUCACUUACAUGCACUGGUAUCAACAGAAACCAGGACAGCCCCCCAAACUGCCUCAUCUAUGGAGCAUCCCACCUAGCAUCUGGGGUCCCUGCCAGGUUCAGUGGCAGUGGGUCUGGGACAGACUUCACCCUCACCAUCCAUCCUGUGGAGGCUGAUGAUGCUGCAAUCUAUCACUGUCAGCAGGCUAUGGAGUUUCCUCCCACAGUGCUCCAGGGCUAAACAAAAACCUCCUGGGGUUGCUGCUCCCUAAGGCUCAGUCUCUCAGCUUUCUCUUUCCCCAGUACAUCUCAGCCAUAGAAACUAGAUGUUUUGAUUCCAUGAAAGGAAGGUGUGAAAUAGAAAUUUUAAACUGUUAUGUGUGUUUGUCCUACUCUGUGUACUUUAAUAUAACAACUUGUUUGCUAAUAAAGACCACUCUGGUACUAUU